GAUCAUGGCUCAGGAUGAACGCUGGCGGCGUGCCUAACACAUGCAAGUCGAGCGAUCUCUUCGGAGAGAGCGGCGGACGGGUGAGUAACGCGUGGGUAACCUGCCCUGUACACACGGAUAACAUACCGAAGGUAUGCUAAUACGGGAUAAUAUAUAAGAGUCGCAUGACUUUUAUAUCAAAGAUUUUUUCGGUACAGGAUGGACCCGCGUCUGAUUAGCUUGUUGGCGGGGUAACGGCCCACCGAAGG
rnacentral:rRNA from 1 species